GCGUUGGUGGUGUAAUGGCCAGCAUAGUUGCCUUCCAAGCAGUUGACCCCAGGUUCGAUUCUCAGCCAACGUA